rnacentral:rRNA from 1 species
ACGCUCGACACCUACUGGAGGCAGCAGUGGGGAAUAUUGCACAAUGGGGGAAACCCUGAUGCAGCGAUGCCGCGUGAAGGAAGAAGUAUCUCGGUAUGUAAACUUCUAUCAGCAGGGAAGAAAAUGACGGUACCUGACUAAGAAGCCCCGGCUAACUACGUGCCAGCAGCCGACGGUAAUCUGAGCGGGCUGGCAAGGC